GCCCAAUGUCGCACGUGCCUGUGGGCGUCCCCCGGUCCUUCGAAUGCGAGGGUCAUCCGGGUCGGUCACUGGAGGUUCAGCCUCCAGGUCGGUUUCGCUGCUGGCGAAAUCGUGGACGCCUUGAAGCAACGACGGUGCGGGCCUUU
rnacentral:sRNA from 1 species